rnacentral:rRNA from 1 species
CGGAACGAACGCUGGCGGCGCGUCUUAAGCAUGCAAGUCGAACGGCAAGAGGUAGCAAUACCUCCUAGAGUGGCGGACUGGUGAGUAACACGUGGGUGACAUACCCUUCAGAUGGGGAUAGCUAUUAGAAAUAGUAGAUAAUACCGAAUACGAGCACAGGGGUUAGAGAUCUGUGAGGAAAGGAGCUAAGGCUCCGCUGAAGGAAUGGCCUGCGGCCCAUUAGCUAGUUGGUGAGGUAAGAGCCCACCAAGGCGAUGAUGGGUAUCCGGCCUUAGAGGGUGAACGGACACAUUGGGACUGAGAUACGGCCCAGACUCCUACGGGAGGCAGCAGCUAAGAAUAUUCCGCAAUGGACGAAAGUCUGACGGAGCGACGCCGCGUGGAUGAAAGAAGGCCGGAAGGUUGUAAAAUCCUUUUGAAACUGAAGAAUAAGCGUUGUAGGGAAUGACAGCGUGGUGACAGUAGGUUUUGAAUAAGCAACGGCUAAUUACGUGCCAGCAGCUGC